rnacentral:rRNA from 1 species
UGGGGAAUAUUGGACAAUGGGCGCAAGCCUGAUCCAGCCAUGCCGCGUGAGUUAUGAAGGCCCUAGGGUUGUAAAGCUCUUUCACCGGUGAAGAUAAUGACGGUAACCGGAGAAGAAGCCCCGGCUAACUUCGUGCCAGCAGCCGCGGUAAUACGAAGGGGGCUAGCGUUGUUCGGAUUUACUGGGCGUAAAGCGCACGUAUGCGGACUUUUAAGUCAGGGGUGAAAUCCCGGGGCUCAACCCCGGAACUGCCUUUGAUACUGGAAGUCUUGAGUAUGGUAGAGGUGAGUGGAAUUCCGAGUGUAGAGGUGAAAUUCGUAGAUAUUCGGAGGAACACCAGUGGCGAAGGCGGCUCACUGGACCAUUACUGACGCUGAGGUGCGAAAGCGUGGGGAGCAAACAGG